AGGAAUUUUCAAACUCGUCCACUAAUAUCACAAAAGAAAAAUCAAAAAUUUCUGCGACUGUUUUAACAGGUAUAUUCGAAUGACCGUAAGAAAAAAGGGGAACUUCAAUAUGAAGAUUAACAACUGUAAAAUUAUUCUGCUUUUUAUAACGACACUUUGUGGUGUUGUUUAUUUUUGUUGAACAUAUUGACUGAAAAAUGUAGGCACGUAAAACAAUUUAGCCAUAAGCAAUGUCGGAUAAAACAACGGUUUUCUAUUGUAAGGAACGUGUUUAAAAAAGUCGAAACUAAAAACAAAGUUGGCAGAAAAAUAAAUCAGCGAUAUUAUGGAAAGAUGUUUUCGAUAAGUUGUUAACCCAUUUGAAAAAAACAUAACUGCAUUCUUAGUUGUUAUUUUUUUAUAUGGAUUAGACAAUUAUAGUCAGAGAGAUUGUAUAUUCGUUUUUGAAUGGGAACUGAUCGUAUAAAAACGCAGACAUUAUCGAGUGCAAAAUAAUAGUCCUUGGCGCUUCAAGGAAUACUCAUAAAAAACAUUUUUUAGAACAUAUUAAAAUAAUUUAAUUUUGGAUGUAACGCGUCUUCUGAUUGGCUGACGUUAUUUGUUAUGAGCCCAUAGACAUAAUUUAGUCAUGUGACCGUGACGUCAUCAACGUUUUUUAUGGUUUUCUACGAUUUAAAUGGAAUUAAGAAUUAAAUUAUAAGUAAUGACUGUAAUAUCUUUUCUGUCUAUUCGAAAUAAUAUAAAAAAUGUGGUGCACACUGUUAAAAAAACCGCUAAGCUUGUUAUUCAGUGUGCACCAAAUUUUUAAUGUUAUUUCUUCAUAGACAGAAAAAAUAUUACAGUCAUUCCUUAAUUAAUAAUAUGAAAAUGUUGUGUCGUUAGAAAUUUAUAUAGACAUUUGUAGGUACAAAAAUAUUUAUAUCUAUGCACAUGUACAUAAAUAUUGUGUUUACGAAUGCACAAUAUCUCAAGAAAGUUUUUGCGGGAAAAUAUGAAUGCCUACUUUAAUCCAAUCUAUAAGUUAAAUCGAAUUAUUACAGAAGAGUUUUCAACAUGCGCUUGCACUACACUAUAUUUCUAUUAUUAGAUUAUAGUAGAAUAGAAUGAUAUACAAACAGAUGAAAAUUGUAUAUACAGGUAAUUGUUAUAUACAAAUAUCAAUGUAAUAUGUAACAACAAACCAGACUGUACUGAUUUGUAUCACUACAAUAUAUUAGUGAUUACGGUGAGGUAACAUUCCUUAUCGUUUCAUAUAAAUUCAUUUCUUUAAUGAAUGCUCAGCAAAUACUUUUUAAAGAAGAUAAAUUAAUGAUAUUAAAAUUUUUGUUAUACGUAUGUAUAUAUAAGGAAAAAAUAAUAUCUAUGCACUCGCAUGCGGAAGAAUAUCCAAGAACGUUUGCAACCUCAAGGAACGAUUACUCUGCAUGGAUGAUUAAAUAUGUUUUGCCGGAUAAUACGAAUGCCGACUCAAAUCCAUUCGAGUUAUUACAGAAGAGUGAUGUGUCCACCAUGCACUUGCACUGCACUAUUUUUUAUGAAUGAUAUACAAAUGCAUGAAAAUCAUAUAUACAUGUAACUGUAAUAUACGAGUAUUAAUAUAAUAAAUAACAGUAAACCAGAG
rnacentral:lncRNA from 1 species